GGGGGGGUUUUCGGAUUAUUGGGCGUAAGCGCGCGUAGGCGGCCGCGCAAGUCGGUUGUGAAAUCCCGGGGCUCAACCCCGGGACUGCAUCCGAUACUGCACGGCUCGAGGCAGGUAGGGGAGAGUGGAAUUCCCGGUGUAGCGGUGAAAUGCGCAGAUAUCGGGAGGAACACCGGUGGCGAAGGCGGCUCUCUGGACCUGUCCUGACGCUCAGGCGCGAAAGCUAGGGGAGCGAACAGGAUUAGAUACCCUGGUAGUCCUAGCCGUAAACGUUGGGCGCUAGGUGUGGGGGGACAUCGACCCCCUCUGUGCCGAAGCUAACGCAUUAGGCGCCCCGCCUGGGGAGUACGGCCGCAAGGCUAAAACUCAAAGGAAUUGACGGGGGCCCGCACAAGCGGCGGAGCAUGUGGCUUAAUUCGAUGCAACGCGAAGAACCUUACCUGGGCUUGACAUGCGGGGUGAAGCCGGUGAAAGCCGGUCCUCUACGGAGCCCGCACAGGUGGUGCAUGGCUGUCGUCAGCUCGUGCCGUGAGAUGUUGGGUUAAGUCCCGCAACGAGCGCAACCCUUACCCUCAGUUGCUACCGGGUCAUGCCGGGCACUCAGAGGGAACUGCCUCGGAUAACGGGGAGGAAGGUGGGGAUGACGUCAAGUCAUCAUGGCCUUUAUGUCCAGGGCUACACACGUGCAACAAUGGCCGGUACAAAGGGUCGCAAUCCCGCGAGGGGGAGCCAAUCCCAGAAAACCGGUCCCAGUUCGGAUCGGAGUCUGCAACUCGACUCCGUGAAGUCGGAAUCGCUAGUAAUCGCGGAUCAGAACGCCGCGGUGAAUACGUUCCCGGGCCUUGUACACACCGCCCGUCACACCACGAAAGCCUAUUGUACCUGAAGUCGCUGCGCCAACCCGCAAGGGAGGCAAGCGCCCACGGUAUGAUCGGUGAUUGGGGUGAAGUCGUAACAAGGUAAC
rnacentral:rRNA from 1 species